rnacentral:tRNA from 1 species
GCCCCUGUGGCUCAGUUGGCUAGAGCGGCUGACAUGUAAUCAGCAGUGCGGUAGUUCAAAUCUAUCCGGGGGCU